AGAGUUUGAUCCUGGCUCAGGAUGAACGCUGGCGGCGUGCCUAAUACAUGCAAGUCGAACGAGGUGCUUUUGUAGCAAUACGAGAGUAUCCUAGUGGCGAACGGGUGAGUAACGCGUUGGUGACCUACCCCAAAGUGCGGGAUAACAGUCCGAAAGGAUUGCUAAUACCGCAUGUGGUUAUUGGAUUUAGAAACUAAUAACUAAAGGAGCAAUUCGCUUUGGGAGGGACCUGCGUCCCAUCAGCUAGUUGGUGAGGUAACGGCCCACCAAGGCUACGACGGGUAGGGGACCUGAGAGGGUGGCCCCCCACAAUGGAACUGAAACACGGUCCAUACACCUACGGGUGGCAGCAGUAGGGAAUAUUGGGCAAUGGGCGAAAGCCUGACCCAGCAACGCCGCGUGUGUGAUGAAGGCCUUCGGGUCGUAAAGCACUUUUCUGGGAGAUGAGAAAGGACAGUAUCCCAGGAAUAAGUCUCGGCUAACUACGUGCCAGCAGCCGCGGUAAUUC
rnacentral:rRNA from 1 species